GCUGGGGCAGGUGGUGACGCUGGGCCUCAUGCCGUUCUUCCACAUCUACGGCAUCACCGGCAUCUGCUGCGCGACUCUGCGGCACAAGGGCACGGUGGUGGUGAUGGACCGGUUCGACCUGAGGACGUUCCUGGGCGCGCUGGUUGCGCACCGGGUGAUGUUCGCGCCCGUGGUGCCGCCGGUGAUGCUGGCCAUGGUCAAGAACCCCAUCGCCGACGAGUUCGACCUCUCCGGGCUGGCCCUCAAGUCCGUGAUGACCGCCGCGGCGCCGCUGGCGCCGGACCUCCUGGCGGCCUUCCAGAGGAAGUUCCCCGGCGUGCAGGUGGAGGAGGCGUACGGGCUGACGGAGCACAGCUGCAUCACGCUGACGCACGCCGGCGACGACCCAGAGAAGGGGCACAUCGCGAAGAAGAAUUCGGUGGGGUUCAUCCUGCCCAACCUGGAGGUGAAGUUCGUG
rnacentral:lncRNA from 1 species